GCCCGCCUAGCUCAAUCGGAUAGAGCGUCAGACUCUUACGAGUUAUCGGGCAUUGAUCUGUCACGUGAAUCGAGGGCGAUCUGAAGGCUGCGAGUUCGACCCUCGCGGUGGGCU